GACGAACGCUGGCGGCGUGCUUAACACAUGCAAGUCGUACGGUAAGGCCCUUUCGGGGGUACACGAGUGGCGAACGGGUGAGUAACACGUGAGUAACCUGCCCACAACGUUGGGAUAACGCUAGGAAACUGGUGCUAAUACUGGAUAUGUGCUCCUGCUGCAUGGUGGGGGUUGGAAAGCUCCGGCGGUUGUGGAUGGACUCGCGGCCUAUCAGCUUGUUGGUGGGGUAGUGGCCUACCAAGGCGGCGACGGGUAGCCGGCCUGAGAGGGUGACCGGCCACAUUGGGACUGAGAGACGGCCCAGACUCCUACGGGAGGCAGCAGUGGGGAAUAUUGCACAAUGGGCGCAAGCCUGAUGCAGCAACGCCGCGUGCGGGAUGACGGCCUUCGGGUUGUAAACCGCUUUCAGCAGGGACGAAGCUUUUUGUGACGUUACCUGCAGAAGAAGCACCGGCUAACUACGUG
rnacentral:rRNA from 1 species